rnacentral:lncRNA from 1 species
GAGGGAAGUCGAAUGGGAAAGAAGACAUGAAAAUCCUUGAGUUCAGUGAGUUUUGCCCUGGAUAGUGAUGGUGAAAGAGGAACAGGAAAUGGCAGGUUACUUUGGAAGAUGCAAGUGUGGCUGUGGUGGUUGUAGUUCAGCUUAAGCACCAUGAUAGUUGUUGCUCUGGAAAUGGCCAGAGGUCCUGGCUGCCUUGGGGAUAGGGAAGGGUGCUCUUUCGCUCCCUGGGCAGUGAGGGAAACAGUGACUCUUAGGGAUGUCGGUUUGAGUGACGAGGGGCCUGGAGGGUGUGAGGCCCAGCAAGCCCAUCUGUGGGCUGCUGGCCCCAGCCUGGUGCAGCCUCUGGCGGGAGGCAAAUGGCAGGGAGGUGUUAGGUUGCUAGAGUUCUUUAGAAGGAAUAUGGUUCUACCUGACUAGAAAGUCCUAGGAUCUGUUACCCUAUCAUUCCACCCUGUUCUUUCCCCACAACAGGCUGAUUCCUCAGUGCUCCCCAGCUCCUGAACUCCUGAGGUGGGGCCCGGUGGGAGGAAGCAUGGGUGUUUGCUACGGAGGCUUUGCCCCAGGCACAGGUCCCAAUAACUCAUAACCUUCACAACUCCUUUAGGCAAUUGCCUUAAGUGUUUGAGCUUAAAUGUAGCUUCAAAAGGAGCCGAGAACUGAACCCAGGCAUUUAGAAUUUUACCCCGGGGGGACUUCUCUGUCCCUCUGAGCUUGGAGUCAGGUGGCAGUCAGUAUGAUCUGGUAGGAAUCUUAACAACAUGGGGGAAGCUAAGGUGUCAUCUGCCCUGAGGCUACCUGGGCAAAUGCCCAGCAGUAUAAAUAGGUUGUGGCCUCAUGUCCCCCCAGCUGUGUUCCUGCUGACAGGAGCAGGGUAGGCGGGGAUCCGUUGUCCCCCUGGGUGUCAGCUGAUGACACAGUUGCGGAGCCUGCAGCACCCACAGGGUGAGGGAGCUUGCCAGCACUCUGGACUGCAGGAGCUUUGAGGCCGGCUCCCAUCCCGGGCACCAGCCUUGUGACAUCUGCC